GUUCUUCAUCCAUCUCUUCUUACUUGGACUAAGAAUCGACGC
rnacentral:sRNA from 1 species